rnacentral:lncRNA from 1 species
GCAAUUUAAAAACAUAGUAAUAAUGGAGAGCCAGCUUUCCCAUGAUAAUGAACAAUUAGGGUCUCGAGAUAUUGAAAAUCAACUUCCCAACCCUCCACCAUCUGUUGGUAAGUUCACAACUAUCUUUCUCUAGAUAAUGUAAACUAAUGUACAUGGAUGAUAUUUGAAUGAUAAAAUUAAGAUACUAUAUGUUAUAAUAAAAUAUGUUAUACAUCUCAUCCUAAGUUCAUUUUCUUGUUAUAUAUCAUAACUGUAUAUAUAUAUAUAUUGUAUUUUUCAGCAUAUUAGAGCGAGGAAAAAAUUGAAGGAGUGGUGUAUCUGACUUGAAAUGUGGUGUGAAAUAAUUAAUUAGUGAUACAAUAUGUAAUUAUUUCAAACUAUAGAGUGG